AAAGAAGAGGGUAUCCGUUAUAUGUUCUUCAUUUCUUGUAAGUAGUUCCUUUACAAAAGUUCAUGUUUAACUCAGCUUAAAAGGGAAGGGAGCUUAUAAGAGAAAUCAAUAGUCUUGAUUUGUUUUUCCUUUUUCUUUUAGUGGCGCAAAAGGGAAGUAAGCAAUGACCACCUGUUCCAAAAGCAAUUACAAAGUUUUGUUUUUUACAUAAAUGGCAAGUGGGCUUGCGAUUAUUGUUGAUACAGGGACUCUUGAUAUGCCCUAUCACCCAGUGCAACAAAAUAGUUUUCUUGUUCUACUUUGCGUUUCAUUGUUUAGAUUCACUCCAGCAGGUUUAGGAGGGUGAGCUCUUGCCAAUCUCUUUGCUGCAAAUGGAAAGGAAAACACCAUCUAAGAAUUGCAAAAUCAAGUUCUCAUACAAGCACAUAGAAGGUAAAUGGAGAAUGACAUGUCUGAUCAGUGAUCACUAAUAAUAUCCUAGGUUAAGGUAAUUUGUAGAUGGCCCUGACUGAUCAAUGAUAUCAGAUGGGAAAUGUGAUCGACCGUCCUUGUAACUGGAUUAACAGAUCAUGAAUUUCUACCAAGAUAAAUGAAAAUAAGUUUACCUAUUUCAUAAAAAAGCUCAUUGAUAUUGUAAGCAGUUUUUGCAGAUGUUUCUGUGAAGAACAUUCCAUUCUCUUGAGCAAAUUGCUCGCCCUCCUGAAAUAUAUUAGAAAGGAAAAAGAAACAAUGGUUGAUUUUGAGAAUCGUUAUCAACAAAAUUAACAAAGAAACAGCAAUAUAAUUAGGCAGAAACAACCAAAACUUUAAGUGUAGAGAUCAUAUGACGUGUUAAUGUUUAAUUGUAUGAACAAGUGUUUGGUGUGUACAUAAUACAGCUGAUCUCUUGCAUCAACCAAAAAAUGUUAAUGUUAUUCAGCAUCUGCACACAAAAAAUAAUGAUAUGCACUUUUUUAUUGAUGCCAGGAAAGAAUACCUCAUUCUGCACCUCUCUCUUAGAAUCUAGAUCAGAUUUGUUUGCCACCAAUGCCAUAACCAUAUUAAGAUUUCCUAGAACAAUAAUAUAGGAAAUGAUAUUAUGAGUCCCAAAUCAACUACAUAUGAACAAAAUCACACUUAAAAGAAAGUAGAAAAAUAAGCAUACGACAGAAGGCUCAGCCAUCUAUUUAUGCAGAACAAAAAUAAAGAAGGGUUCAGAUUCAUUAGAAGGGAGUCAUAAUUGACAGCAAGAAUAAGAGCCCACUGUGCACACUUAAUUAAACUAAAAUGGAUUUAGAUAAAAGCACUACAGAUACUGUUGACAGCACAAUUUAGUGUAAUUGAAGAGGGGGAGAACAUAGUUUUAACUCAAGAGAAUGGAAUCAAAAUGGCAGUGUUUCACAUAAGGCAUAUUCAUUUAAUUGAUGCUGUUGAAUUCAUGAACAAAAACAAGCUACAUUCUGAUUAGAAGUUUGCAAGUUACAUUAUCACAGACUUCGAUGCUUUUGCUACUAAUCUGUGAGGAAACAUCAUAGGAAUUGGAAAAGUGAAUAUGAAAGAAUGAAAGAUUGUAAUGGAAACACAAAGCUUUAAUUAAAAUGUAUUGGGUUGGCUUUUAUUUCAAUUGGAAGCCUCACCUUGUCUUUGCAGUUCUUGAACCCAUUUUUUGGCUCUAAUGAAUGUAUCCUGCAGUAGAAUGCCAAAAUACAUCAUAGCAGAUAUUUUUUACAUAAGAAGAAGCAAGCCAGCAGAGACAGGGUCAUGUCUGAUUUGUCCCAAAGAAUUCAGUCAAGUUACCAGUAAGGUUGUUUCAAUCCUUUAAGACAACAAAUUCAGAAACUUGUACGCAACAAUUUAUUUUUAAGACUGUCAAUAAUAUGACCAAUGAAAUUGCUUAAAUCAUUGAUGGAAACAAACUACUGAGCAUAGCCACAAGAAGUAAAGGCUUGCUUACCAUGCUUGAGAUAUCAUACAUUAUUAUUGCUGCUGCUGCGCCACGAUAAUACAUUGGAGCCAAGCUAUGAUAUCUUUCUUGUCCCGCUGUGUCCCAUAUAUCAAACUUCACAGUUGCUUCAGCUAAUGAUAAUAUCUGUGUGAAAAAAGCUGCUCCUAUAGUUGGUUCCUGGUUAUCGAAGAACUGGCCCUUGAUGAAUCUUAAUACCAAACUGGUUUUCCCAGUUCCCAUGUCCCCCAGAAG
rnacentral:misc_RNA from 1 species